CAGGAUGUGCUUGCACAUCGCUGACGAGUGGCGGACGGGUGAGUAAUGCUUGGGAACUUGCCUUUGCGAGGGGGAUAACAGUUGGAAACGACUGCUAAUACCGCAUAAUGUCUUCGGACCAAACGGGGCUUCGGCUCCGGCGCAGAGAGAGGCCCAAGUGAGAUUAGCUAGUUGGUGAGGUAAAGGCUCACCAAGGCGACGAUCUCUAGCUGUUCUGAGAGGAAGAUCAGCCACACUGGGACUGAGACACGGCCCAGACUCCUACGGGAGGCAGCAGUGGGGAAUAUUGCACAAUGGGGGAAACCCUGAUGCAGCCAUGCCGCGUGUGUGAAGAAGGCCUUCGGGUUGUAAAGCACUUUCAGUUGUGAGGAAAAGUUAGUAGUUAAUACCUGCUAGCCGUGACGUUAACAACAGAAGAAGCACCGGCUAACUCCGUGCCAGCAGCCGCGGUAAUACGGAGGGUGCGAGCGUUAAUCGGAAUUACUGGGCGUAAAGCGCACGCAGGCGGUUUGUUAAGCUAGAUGUGAAAGCCCCGGGCUCAACCUGGGAUGGUCAUUUAGAACUGGCAGACUAGAGUCUUGGAGAGGGGAGUGGAAUUCCAGGUGUAGCGGUGAAAUGCGUAGAUAUCUGGAGGAACAUCAGUGGCGAAGGCGACUCCCUGGCCAAAGACUGACGCUCAUGUGCGAAAGUGUGGGUAGCGAACAGGAUUAGAUACCCUGGUAGUCCACACCGUAAACGCUGUCUACUAGCUGUUUGUGAUUUUAAAUCGUGAGUAGCGAAGCUAACGCGCUAAGUAGACCGCCUGGGGAGUACGGCCGCAAGGUUAAAACUCAAUGAAUUGACGGGGCCCGCACAAGCGGUGGAGCAUGUGGUUUAUUCGAUGCACGCGA
rnacentral:rRNA from 1 species